UACGAAGGGGGCUAGCGUUGCUCGGAAUCACUGGGCGUAAAGCGCACGUAGGCGGACUCUUAAGUCGGGGGUGAAAUCCUGGAGCUCAACUCCAGAACUGCCUUCGAUACUGGGAGUCUUGAGUUCGGGAGGGGGGAGUGGAACUGCGAGUGUAGAGGUGAAAUUCGUAGAUAUUCGCAAGAACACCAGUGGCGAAGGCGGCUCACUGGCACGAUACUGACGCUGAGGUGCGAAAGCGUGGGGAGCAAACAGG
rnacentral:rRNA from 1 species